rnacentral:rRNA from 1 species
CCUACGGGGGGCUGCAGUGAGGAAUAUUGGUCAAUGGGCGGAAGCCUGAACCAGCCAAGUAGCGUGCGGGAUGACGGCCCUACGGGUCGUAAACCGCUUUUGUACGGGGAUAACACCCUCCACUUGUGGAGGUCUGCAGGUACCGUGCGAAUAAGGGCCGGCUAAUUCCGUGCCAGCAGCCGCGGUAAUACGGAAGGUCCGAGCGUUAUCCGGAUUCAUUGGGCUUAAAGGGAGCGUAGGCGGGCGUUCAAGUCAGCUGUAAAAUCUAGCGGCUCAACCGCGUCCAGCAGUUGAAACUGGAGGCCUUGAGUUCACAACAGGCAGGCUGAAGUCGUGGUGUAGCGGUGAGAUGCAUAGA